UUUAGGUAUAGCGUGGUUCGUUAUUCCACUUGAACUAAAACUAGAGUAUGGAAUUUUAUUCUACCAUAGUUGGAACCUUUUUGUUGCAAUUUGUGCGGUACCCAGUCUAUUACUUGGCUUGUGGCUGCUUGCAUUUCCCGAAAGUCCGAAGUUUUUGCUCGAGCAUGGAGAAUGCGAAAAGGCACUGCAAAUACUUGUGUAUAUGUUCGUAAGAAAUACAGGUCGAAAACCAGAGGAAUAUCCAUGCAAAAGUCUGAUCGAACCUAUGCGGAAUACCGACAGAUCUCGAGACAAAAGUGUGAGGUCGUUGAGCUUACGAAAACCUGAUGAGCUGAAGAUAUUGAUUUCUGAAAUCUGGUUACAUACGAAAACUCUUUGUAAAAGACCAUAUCUUCGAAAUACUGCUCUGACAUGCGGGAUUCAAUUUUGCUUGACAACAAGCUACUAUACGCUGAUGGUGUGGUUUCCAGAAUUGUUUCAUCGAUUCGAUGACUUCGAACGAAUGCAUCCGGGAGUUGAAGCCUCAGUGUGUGACGUUUCACCUGUCUUUGUCGGAGAU
rnacentral:sRNA from 1 species